rnacentral:sRNA from 1 species
GACACGGAAGCCUCUUUGUGCUAUGAUGAUACAGGUUUUUUGGCGGAGACGCGGCCGGGAGCUCCAAGCUUCCGGCUGCGUCCAUUUG